UACGAAGGGGGCUAGCGUUGUUCGGAAUCAUUGGGCGUAAAGCGCACGUAGGCGGCCUUGUAAGUCGGAUGUGAAAUCCCACGGCUCAACCGUGGAAGUGCAUCCGAAACUGCGAGGCUCGAGUAUGGAAGAGGGUCGCAGAAUUCCCGGUGUAGAGGUGAAAUUCGUAGAUAUCAGGAGGAACACCGAUGGCGAAGGCAGGUCUCUGGGCAUUAACUGACGCUGAGGAGCGAAAGCAUGGGGAGCGAACAGG
rnacentral:rRNA from 1 species